GAUGAACGCUGGCGGCGCGCCUAACACAUGCAAGUCGAACGGCACCCCUCCUCGGAGGGAAGCGAGUGGCGAACGGCUGAGUAACACGUGGAGAACCUGCCCCCUCCCCCGGGAUAGCCGCCCGAAAGGACGGGUAAUACCGGAUACCCCAGGGUCCCGCAUGGCACCCCGGCUAAAGCCCCGACGGGGGGGGAUGGCUCCGCGGCCCAUCAGGUAGACGGCGGGGUGACGGCCCACCGUGCCGACACCGGGUAGCCGGGUUGAGAGACCGACCGGCCAGGUUGGGACUGAGACACGGCCCAGACUCCUGCGGGAGGCAGCAGUGGGGAAGCUUGCGCAAUGGGGGGAACCCUGACGCAGCGACGCCGCGUGCGGGACGGAGGCCUUCGGGUCGUAAACCGCUUUCAGCAGGGAAGAGUCAAGACUGUACCUGCAGAAGAAGCCCCGGCUAACUACGUG
rnacentral:rRNA from 1 species